rnacentral:rRNA from 1 species
UUGGAGGGCAAGUCUGGUGCCAGCAGCCGCGGUAAUUCCAGCUCCAAUAGCGUAUAUUAAAGUUGUUGCAGUUAAAAAGCUCGUAGUUGAACCUCGGGGUCUACCCAUUGGUCAGGCUUAAUGUCUGCACUGGUGAGAUGGAUCUCUACCUUCUGAGGAACUUUCAGUGCCAUUUAUUGGUGUGAUGGGAAAUCAGGACUGUACUUUGAAAAAUUGAGUGUUAAAGCAGACUAUCGUCUGAAUACAUUAGCAUGGAAUAAUGAAAUAGGACGGACUGAUCAUUCGUGGUUCAGGAUCACCGUAAUGAUUAA